rnacentral:lncRNA from 1 species
UCCUUGACAUGAAUGAAACAUUGUAAUAAAUUCAUUUUCCAUUGGUGUAUCCAAACCCUUAUAUAUAUACAUAUAUUAAACUUUCAUUUAACAUUCAAUAUAUAUAUAUAUAUAUAUAGAGUUGAGCUAGAAUACUAUCGGUAGUAAACGAGCCGAUUUACUACCGAUUUGUUUUCGAUAAGAGAACUUUCAAAUUGACGAUCGGCUCCGUUGAACAUGAUCUAUACCACUUGAAGUGUUUAGAAAUUAAAUUUCAAAUCUUUUCGACAUCAUUUGUCUAAUGAUCAAGGGUUUCAAAAUUUGUAAUUUUAAGGUCGAUAAGAGGCGUUUUCUCGUUUAACGGCGUAAAGAUAUCCAAACCAAUUGAAAUUUUGGUUAGAAAAUUCUUUAAACUAUUUAAAACAAGAUCUAUAUUCUUGAUCUUGAUUACAAGACUCCUAUCAUCAUUUUUUAAAGAGUAUUCAUUUUCAGCCAUUCAUUUUUUUUGUUCACUUAAUGGAUAAAAGAACAAUAUCGAAAGUGCGUGAAAUUUGAUUUCUAGGUAGUUUAAAUGGUUUAGAUCAUAUUUAACGAAGCCGAUCGUCAAUUUGAAAGCUCUAUCAUCGAAAACAAAUC